rnacentral:misc_RNA from 1 species
UUUCCGUAGGUGAACCUGCGGAAGGAUCAUUAUUGAAUAAACCUGGCUUGGUUGUUGCUGGUCUUUUCGGAGACAUGUGCACGCCUUGUCAUCUUUAUAUUUCCACCUGUGCACCUUUUGUAGACUUGAAGACAGUUUUCCGAGGCAACUCGGUCGUGAGGAAAUGCUUUAAAUGGCUUUCUUUGAUUGUCUUCAAGGCCUAUGUUUCAUAUACACCAUAAGAAUGUAACAGAAUGUCAUUAUUAGACUUAUGUCUUAUAAACUAUAUACAACUUUCAGCAACGGAUCUCUUGGCUCUC